rnacentral:misc_RNA from 1 species
GAUGAAGAACGUAGCAAAAUGCGAUACUUGGUGUGAAUUGCAGAAUCCCGUGAACCAUCGAGUUUUUGAACGCAAGUUGCGCCCGAAGCCUUUUGGCCGAGGGCACGUCUGCCUGGGCGUCACGCAUCGCGUCGCCCCCCCACAAUUCUCCGUAAAGGGAACAUGUGUUUUGGGGGCGGAUAUUGGUCUCCCGUGCUCCUGGCGUGGUUGGCCGAAAUAGGAGUCCUUUCGAUGGACGCACGAACUAGUGGUGGUCGUAAAAACCCUCGUCUUUUGUUUCGUGCUGUUGCUCGCAAGGUAAACUCUUUAAAAACCCCAAUGCGUCGUCUCUUGACGACGCUUCGACCGCGACCCCAGGUCAGGCGGGACUACCCGCUGAGUUUAAGCAUAUCAAUAAGCGGAGGA